rnacentral:rRNA from 1 species
CCUACGGGAGGCUGCAGUGAGGAAUAUUGGUCAAUGGACGCAAGUCUGAACCAGCCAUGCCGCGUGCAGGAAGACGGCUCUAUGGGUUGUAAACUGCUUUUGUGCGAGGGUAAACUCAGAUACGCGUAUCUUUCUGCAAGUAUCGUACGAAUAAGGAUCGGCUAACUCCGUGCCAGCAGCCGCGGUAAUACGGAGGGUUCAAGCGUUAUCCGGAUUUAUUGGGUUUAAAGGGUGCGUAGGCGGUCGGAUAAGUUAGUGGUGAAAUCCCGAGGCUCAACUUUGGAAUUGCCUCUGAUACUGUUCGGCUAGAGAGUAGUGGCGGUAGGCGGAAUGUAUGGUGUAGCGGUGAAAUGCUUAGAGAUCAUACAGAACACCGAUUGCGAAGGCAGCUUACCAUGGUAUUGCUGACGUUGAGGCACGAAAGCGUGGGGAGCAAACAGGAUUAGAUACCCCAGUAGUC